AUUGGACGCUGGCGGCAGGCCUAACACAUGCAAGUCGAGCGGAUGAAGGGAGCUUGCUCCUGGAUUCAGCGGCGGACGGGUGAGUAAUGCCUAGGAAUCUGCCUGGUAGUGGGGGGUAACGUCCGGAAACGGGCGCUAAUACCGCAUACGUCCUGAGGGAGAAAGUGGGGGAUCUUCGGACCUCACGCUAUCAGAUGAGCCUAGGUCGGAUUAGCUAGUUGGUGGGGUAAAGGCCUACCAAGGCGACGAUCCGUAACUGGUCUGAGAGGAUGAUCAGUCACACUGGAACUGAGACACGGUCCAGACUCCUACGGGAGGCAGCAGUGGGGAAUAUUGGACAAUGGGCGAAAGCCUGAUCCAGCCAUGCCGCGUGUGUGAAGAAGGUCUUCGGAUUGUAAAGCACUUUAAGUUGGGAGGAAGGGCAGUAAGUUAAUACCUUGCUGUUUUGACGUUACCAACAGAAUAAGCACCGGCUAACUUCGUG
rnacentral:rRNA from 1 species